UACGGGGGGGGCAAGCGUUGUUCGGAAUUACUGGGCGUAAAGGGCGCGUAGGCGGCCUGCUAAGUCGGAUGUGAAAUCCCUCGGCUCAACCGAGGAACUGCAUCCGAUACUGGCGGGCUUGAAUCCGGGAGAGGGAGUGCGGAAUUCCAGGUGUAGCGGUGAAAUGCGUAGAUAUCUGGAGGAACACCGGUGGCGAAGGCGGCAUCCUGGACCGGUAUUGACGCUGAGGCGCGAAAGCCAGGGGAGCAAAGCGGG
rnacentral:rRNA from 1 species